rnacentral:rRNA from 1 species
UACGUAGGUGGCGAGCGUUGUCCGGAAUCAUUGGGCGUAAAGAGCGUGUAGGUGGCUUGGAAAGUCUUACGUGAAAGCCUGCGGCUCAACCGCAGAAGUGCGUGGGAAACUUCCUCGCUAGAGUCCGGAAGAGGAGAGCGGAAUUCCUGGUGUAGCGGUGGAAUGCGCAGAUAUCAGCAGGAACACCGGUGGCGAAGGCGGCUAUCUGGACGACAACUGACGCUGAGGCGCGAAAGCGUGGGGAUCAAACAGG